ensembl:snoRNA
ACUCAGUGAUGAGCUCUUUAUCCCGAAGCUGAGCCUCUUGAUGAGACAAACCUUACGGAUCUGACUACUGAGUU